rnacentral:rRNA from 1 species
GUCUAAGUAUCAUUAAGUGAAUACAUAGCUUAAUGGUGGGAACGCAUGGAACUGAAACAUCUAAGUACCUGAAGGAAGAGCAAGAAAUUCGAUUCCGUAAGUAGCGGCGAGCGCACGCGGAUUAGCCCAAACCAAUACAGUUUGCUUUAUUGGGGUUGUGGACAUAUCAUAACGAAGAGGUAUCGUAAUUGAAGAGGUUUGGAAAGACCCACCACAGAAGGUAAUAGUCCUGUAUGUUAAACGAGAAGACUUUAGAUAUGAUCCAGAGUACCACGG